AUUGAACGCUGGCGGCAUGCUUUACACAUGCAAGUCGAACGGUAACAGGGAGCUUGCUCCGCUGACGAGUGGCGAACGGGUGAGUAAUGCGUCGGAACGUGCCGAGUAGUGGGGGAUAACGCAUCGAAAGGUGUGCUAAUACCGCAUACGUACUGAGGUAGAAAGUGGGGGACCUUCGGGCCUCACGCUAUUCGAGCGGCCGACGUCGGAUUAGCUAGUUGGUGAGGUAAAGGCUCACCAAGGCGACGAUCAGUAGCGGGUCUGAGAGGAUGAUCCGCCACACUGGGACUGAGACACGGCCCAGACUCCUACGGGAGGCAGCAGUGGGGAAUUUUGGACAAUGGGCGCAAGCCUGAUCCAGCCAUGCCGCGUGUCUGAAGAAGGCCUUCGGGUUGUAAAGGACUUUUGUCCGGGAGCAAAUGCUGGUGGCUAACAUCCACCGGAGCUGAGAGUACCGGAAGAAUAAGCACCGGCUAACUACGUGCCAGCCGCCGCGGUAAUAC
rnacentral:rRNA from 1 species